CCCGUUUCACUUCCUCACUUUCCCCCUUUUGCUCUCUGUUCACGUAGGACCACAAACUGGACGCAAACAAGUGCGUCUACAGCUCUGCUGGCACUUCACAUGGCGUAAAGUCCAUCCGUAGUUUGUUAAACAUCACCGACUGGAGCAAAGAGAGCAAAAAAAGCACUUGCUAAAUGGAGGACUACUUUGAGAUGGCUGCUAUUCUCCGGCUUAUUGCCUCCUGUCGACCAUGGUUUCACAUGAGGUCCGGGGUGUCAGGUCUGCUUCCACCAAUAAAGCCUGUGAUUGACACUAGCAGGAGAGACUUGAGCUGGGAAAAGAAACUGAAUCUCAAUGUAUGAGGGAAAAUCUACAACAAAAAAAAAAAAAAAAAAAAAAAAAAAACAUCUCAGGGUUGGAGGACAAAAGCAUGCUCCGGCCAUACAUCUGGAAACACUCUAAACCAACAUCCUGGUAUAAAUUUGCAAAACGCAAUACAGGCCGGAUUGUGCGCGGGACGGACGCGGGGUGCAUACAAAUGGCCCCCCCGUCUAAAGUACCCCCUGUUUCUCUUCUGCCUCAGAAGGAGCGCCAGAGUUUUUUACCGAAGGGAGAAUAAAGUUUCAAGUGCAUGGCAUUUGAAGGUAAGCGAGUGAAAUCGGAGGCUGGUCGUUGGGGAUAAGGCAAGGCUGGGAAAGAGGGAAGUUGGCAGUAGUGCCCAGCCAGACUCGGUGCCUUGAGCUCCCCCCUCCCUGCACCAGGUGUCUGCUACAUUUAAAUGAUACUAUUAUUCAUAGACAAGAGAGCAGGGUAUUAAAAGUCCCCCCAAAAAAUCAUUUGCAAUUGAAUACAGAUAUAAUCCUGGAAAUAUAAGUCUCCAUUUAGGCCUUGCCAUUAAGCUAACAAGGAGCCCUUUGUACAACAUGUGUGUAUUAAUCACGGUCAGGGGAAAGGGGCAGGAAGAGAGAGAGUGGGAGAGAAAAUAGAGAGCGAGUGAGUGAGCGAGGGAGGGAAAAAGAGAGAGAGAACACCAUUCGUGUGUGUUCACAUGCAAAUUGAAAUGUUGCUCAUCAAAAACGAGCUUAUCACUUUCCCUCUUGUUCUCGGCAGACUCGGCGGGCCAGCACGAACCCCAAGUGCUUCAAAUGGGGAUAAACUGAAAAUUUAUUUGCAUUUGUGAAAUUUCAACACACUUGAUUUCUUUCAGCUGCGCAAUCUGAAGUGCGCGAGUCCAUGCGAGACGUAAAGGAAGCACACACUGCGUGCAGAUGUCACAACGACACACAGGAAUUCACUCAAUGAGCCGGGGUUUCUCAAACCUACUGUGUGGGUUUCAUUUUCCUGCAGAUCACUUUGAUUUGUGCACUUUUUCAAUGUGGCAAAUAGAGAUUUUGGAGGGCCCUCAAGGCAGCCCCCAAAUGCCCCUUACAAAACUCCUCUCCAGCAAUCAUUACAUCACCAUUUCUCUAAGCCGAUUUUCAGCAAGUCUGGCUGUGUUAUUAAAAUAGUAAUUAAUUUUUGUCCAAGGGAACAAAAGCAAGUUUUUGUCCCCCACCAAGUGUCUCUGAAGAGGCCAGGGGUGCCGGUGAGGUUCUUUCUAUCUAGUCUAUGGUCUCUAAACGUAAUCCCCAAUAGUCUGGUACAGUAAGAGCGCUUUGAUAAUGGGAUAGAAGCAGACACCCGCACCGGAUCGAUCUGGAUCUCGGGAUGCGUUUGAUAGGCUGGUGUCACAAACAAGUGUGGCUCAACAAUAACGUCUGUAAGUUAGGAUGUUAUUAAAGGGUUAGUUCACCCAAAAAUGAAAAUUCUGUCAUUAAUUACUCACCCUCAUGUCAUUCCACACUCAUAAGACCUUUGAUAAUAAGUUGGCAUUCUGACAUAGAACCGGGAAGCGCUGACGUAAACAACAUAGAAGAAUGAUAUAGAGAAGAUAUUGUUGAAUAAAGUCGUUAUUUUUGUUUUGUUUUUGCGCACAAAAAGUAUUCUCGUCGCUUCAGAAAAUUAAGAUUGAAUCACUGCAGUCACAUUGACUAUUUUAACAAUGUCUUUAGUACCUUUCUGAAUCUUGAAAGUAGUGGUAACAUAUCUGUCUAUGGGGGAUAAAAAAGUAUCUUAAUUUGUGUUCUGAAGAUGAAUAAAGGUCUUACGGGUGUGGAACGACGUGAGGGUGAGUAAUUAAUGACAGAAUUUUCAUUUUUGGGUGAACUAACCCUUAUUUUUCACAAUUGUUACUUCAUAAAACAGAGAUACACACUGCUAUGUACAAAUGCUGAUUUUGCAUUACAGACUUAAUUGUUAACUUUCACCAUAUGGCACAUGGGAGUGUAUUAUGGGAACUUAAAUCGACAAUAUGGAUACGGCUUAGUAUGUUUAAUAUGACUAGAGUCCUGAAACAGCACUACCGGACGUUUCUAUAGCAGAUUAAGUGUUCAUAGUGAGGAGGUCUGGGGGCUUAUGGGUAGAAUCACUAGCAAGUUCGGCUUCGACAUCGAAUUUUCCUUGGAAACACCAAUCAUGUUUAAAAUCCAAGCUGAAGAAGAUUGAGGGAAAAAUCCCAAAGGAAUAAAAGUUGACUUUGAGAGCCUUUGAGUUUCCCGGACAGCCCAUCUGCCAUAAAACACCAUUGUAAAGCUGGACGUGGGUCCCAGAGAUUGAUGACUUGAAGUCUUUCAAAAAGCUGUUUGUAUAAGUGGAGUUAUGCUAAAAAUGCGGCAGUGAUAAUAUCGUCGCCGUUCACCCGAAACAGAGCAUUACUGCAAUGAUAAACGUUGUGUUUGACUUCAUGGAUUUAGUCAGCUGGUGUGCUUGAAAGACGGAGAGAAAAAAGUGGGUGGGAAAACAUUUGCCUUUCUCCAAAAUUAAGUCGUUAUUUCACACAGCCAUAAAUGCAUGUCCUGAGUUACUCUGGCAGUCUCGGCUUCCCAUCAGAUCACAAUGGAGAUGUCAGGAGAUCAUCUCUGAACACAAGCACAUCUGCCCCGAUGAAGAAUUUAUAUCUGUCCAUAUGGACUCUGUUGUGCUGUAGUGAUGUCAUGAGAAUCAAUGUGUUUUUUUGUUUUUUUUUAGAAAACCUCAUAAAUAAUAAUAUUGUUACAUGUGUUGCGUUCUACUGCUUAAUCUUACCUGUAAAGAAGCAACAGGUCAUAAAACACUUUGCUUUUACAGGCUCUCUGCCUUCCCCAUGAAAAUGACUUAGAUUUUUUUUCCCCCCAUGCAUUGUGGACAGGCGGAGCUUUUCAGGAUUUCACCGCAUCUCGGUGUGUCCAAGCAAUAAGUGUGGGGCCAGUGCAGUAGUCACUGCAGGAUUUAAAAAGACUUCCUCAUGCAGAAAUAUUUAAUCUCCUUUCAGAAAAUAAAAGAGGGAGAGGGGAAAGAAAACCCAACAUGAGAUUUUCCGUUCUUUAUUACUUGUGCAGUAUCAAAGAGUACAUCAUAGUUGUUGUUCCCCCUCCAAAAAACUCCAACAAAUAAAAAAGAAAAGGAUCUGUGAUGCAGCACAUGUAGUAGUGCACAUG